AGGAGCGCUCAUACGAGCACUAAUGCACCGGAUCCCAUUUGAAUUCUACAGUGAAGCGUCCUUGGGCGAGAGAGAGUACUACUAGGAUGGGUGACCACUUGGCAAGUCCUCGUGUGGCACCUC
rfam:Lupinus angustifolius cultivar Tanjil chromosome LG15, whole genome shotgun sequence.